rnacentral:rRNA from 1 species
CAGAGUUUGAUCCUGGUCAGGAUGAACGCUAGCUACAGGCUUAACACAUGCAAGUCGAGGGGAAACGACAUCGAAAGCUUGCUUUUGAUGGGCGUCGACCGGCGCACGGGUGAGUAACGCGUAUCCAACCUGCCCACCACUUGGGGAUAACCUUGCGAAAGUAAGACUAAUACCCAAUGACGUCUCUAGAAGACAUCUGAAAGAGAUUAAAGAUUUAUCGGUGAUGGAUGGGGAUGCGUCUGAUUAGCUUGUUGGCGGGGUAACGGCCCACAAGGCGACGAUCAGUAGGGGUUCUGAGAGGAAGGUCCCCCANAUUGGAACUGAGACACGGUCCAAACUCCUACGGGAGGCA